rnacentral:rRNA from 1 species
GAUGAACGCUGGCGGCGUGCCUAAUACAUGCAAGUCGAGCGAACAGACGAGGAGCUUGCUCCUCUGACGUUAGCGGCGGACGGGUGAGUAACACGUGGAUAACCUACCUAUAAGACUGGGAUAACUUCGGGAAACCGGAGCUAAUACCGGAUAAUAUAUUGAACCGCAUGGUUCAAUAGUGAAAGACGGUUUUGCUGUCACUUAUAGAUGGUUCCGCGCCGCAUUAGCUAGUUGGUAAGGUAACGGCUUACCAAGGCGACGCUGCGUAGCCGACCUGAGAGGGUGAUCGGCCACACUGGAACUGAGACACGGUCCAGACUCCUACGGGAGGCAGCAGUAGGGAAUCUUCCGCAAUGGGCGAAAGCCUGACGGAGCAACGCCGCGUGAGUGAUGAAGGUCUUCGGAUCGUAAAACUCUGUUAUUAGGGAAGAACAAAUGUGUAAGUAACUAUGCACGUCUUGACGGUACCUAAUCAGAAAGCCACGGCUAACUACGUG